rnacentral:rRNA from 1 species
GGGCCCGCACAAGCGGUGGAGCAUGUGGUUUAAUUCGAUGCAACGCGAAGAACCUUACCUACCCUUGACAUCCCAGGAAGCUUGCAGAGAUGCGAGUGUGCCUUCGGGAACCUGGUGACAGGUGCUGCAUGGCUGUCGUCAGCUCGUGUCGUGAGAUGUUGGGUUAAGUCCCGUAACGAGCGCAACCCUUGUCCUUAGUUACCAUCACUUCGGGUGGGGACUCUAAGGAGACUGCCGGUGACAAACCGGAGGAAGGUGGGGACGAUGUCAAGUCAUCAUGGCCCUUACGGGUAGGGCUACACACGUGCUACAAUGGACGGUACAGAGGGUUGCCAACCCGCGAGGGGAGCUAAUCUCAGAAAACCGUUCUUAGUCCGGAUUGGAGUCUGAACUCGACUCCAUGAAGCUGGAAUCGCUAGUAA